rnacentral:rRNA from 1 species
UACGGGGGGGGCAAGCGGUUGUUCGGAAUUACUGGGCGUAAAGGGCGCGUAGGCGGCUUUUCAAGUCGGGCGUGAAAUCUCCGGGCUUAACCCGGAAGGGUCGUUCGAUACUGUUGAGCUAGAGUGUGGAAGAGGCAACUAGAAUUCCGUGUGUAGCGGUGAAAUGCGUAGAUAUACGGAGGAAUACCUGAGGCGAAGGCGGGUUGCUGGGCCAACACUGACGCUGAGGCGCGAAAGCCAGGGGAGCAAACGGG